rnacentral:rRNA from 1 species
GAUGAACACUGGCGGCGUGCCUAAUACAUGCAAGUCGAGCGAAUGGAUUGAGAGCUUGCUCUUAUGAAGUUAGCGGCGGACGGGUGAGUAACACGUGGGUAACCUGCCCAUAAGACUGGGAUAACUCCGGGAAACCGGGGCUAAUACCGGAUAACAUUUUGAACCGCAUGGUUCGAAAUUGAAAGGCGGCUACGGCUGUCACUUAGGGAUGGACCCGCGUCGCAUUAGCUAGUUGGUGAGGUAACGGCUCACCAAGGCAACGAUGCGUAGCCGACCUGAGAGGGUGAUCGGCCACACUGGGACUGAGACACGGCCCAGACUCCUACGGGAGGCAGCAGUAGGGAAUCUUCCGCAAUGGACGAAAGUCUGACGGAGCAACGCCGCGUGAGUGAUGAAGGCUUUCGGGUCGUAAAACUCUGUUGUUAGGGAAGAACAAGUGCUAGUUGAAUAAGCUGGCACCUUGACGGUACCUAACCAGAAAGCCACGGCUAACUACGUGCCAGCCGCCGCUGUAA